rnacentral:rRNA from 1 species
GAGUUUGAUCCUGGCUCAGAAUCAACGCUGGCGGCGUGCCUAACACAUGCAAGUCGAACGCGAGAGGGGCUUCGGCCCUGAUUGAGUGGCGAACGGGGUGAGUAACACGUGGGUGAUCUACCUUUGAGUGGGGGAUAACGUUCCGAAAGGAACGCUAAUACCGCAUGACGUUCUGGGUUUGAAGACCUGGAAACCAAAGCCGGGGACCGCAAGGCCUGGCGCUUGGAGAGGAGCCCGCGCCUGAUUAGCUAGUUGGUGAGGUAACGGCUCACCAAGGCUGCGAUCAGUAGCCGGCCUGAGAGGGCGGACGGCCACACUGGGACUGAGACACGGCCCAGACUCCUACGGGAGGCAGCAGUGGGGAAUUGUUCGCAAUGGGCGCAAGCCUGACGACGCAACGCCGCGUGGAGGAUGAAGGUCUUCGGAUUGUAAACUCCUGUUGACCGGGACGAAUGAGCAUCGACCUAAUACGUCGGAGCAGUGACGGUACCGGUUGAGGAAGCCACGGCUAACUCUGUG